CCAAUAGCGUAUAUUAAAGUUGUUGCAGUUAAAAAGCUCGUAGUUGAAUUUCGGGGUCAGUAGGCUGGUCGUGCCACGGGUAUGUACUGGUCUUACUGAUUCCUCCUUCCUGAUGAACCGUAAUGCCAUUAAUUUGGUGUUGCGGGGAAUCUGGACUGUUACUUUGAAAAAAUUAGAGUGUUUAAAGCAGGCUAACGCUUGAAUACAUUAGCAUGGAAUAAUGAAAUAGGACGAUCGAUCCUAUUUUGUUGGUUUCUAGGAUUGACGUAAUGAUUAAUAGGGAUAGUUUGGGGCAUUAGUAUUCAAUUGUCAGAGGUGAAAUUCUUGGAUUUAUUGAAGACUAACUACUGCGAAAGCAUUUGCCAAGGAUGUUUUCAUUAAUCAAGAACGAAAGUUAGGGGAUCGAAGACGAUCAGAUACCGUCGUAGUCUUAACCAUAAACUAUGCCGACUAGGGAUCGGAUGAUGUUAAUUUUUUAAUGACUCAUUCGGCGCCUUACG
rnacentral:rRNA from 1 species